rnacentral:rRNA from 1 species
ACGAACGCUGGCGGCGUGCCUAAUACAUGCAAGUAGAACGCUGAAGAGAGGAGCUUGCUCUUCUUGGAUGAGUUGCGAACGGGUGAGUAACGCGUAGGUAACCUGCCUUGUAGCGGGGGAUAACUAUUGGAAACGAUAGCUAAUACCGCAUAACAAUGGAUGACACAUGUCAUUUAUUUGAAAGGGGCAAUUGCUCCACUACAAGAUGGACCUGCGUUGUAUUAGCUAGUAGGUGAGGUAAUGGCUCACCUAGGCGACGAUACAUAGCCGACCUGAGAGGGUGAUCGGCCACACUGGGACUGAGACACGGCCCAGACUCCUACGGGAGGCAGCAGUAGGGAAUCUUCGGCAAUGGGGGCAACCCUGACCGAGCAACGCCGCGUGAGUGAAGAAGGUUUUCGGAUCGUAAAGCUCUGUUGUAAGUCAAGAACGGGUGUGAGAGUGGAAAGUUCACACUGUGACGGUAGCUUACCAGAAAGGGACGGCUAACUACGUGCCAGCAGCCGCGGUAAUACGUAGGUCCCGAGCGUUGUCCGGAUUUAUUGGGCGUAAAGCGAGCGCAGGCGGUUUGAUAAGUCUGAAGUUAAAGGCUGUGGCUCAACCAUAGUUCGCUUUGGAAACUGUCAAACUUGAGUGCAGAAGGGGAGAGUGGAAUUCCAUGUGUAGCGGUGAAAUGCGUAGAUAUAUGGAGGAACACCGGUGGCGAAAGCGGCUCUCUGGUCUGUAACUGACGCUGAGGCUCGAAAGCGUGGGGAGCGAACAGGAUUAGAUACCCUGGUAGUCCACGCCGUAAACGAUGAGUGCUAGGUGUUGGAUCCUUUCCGGGAUUCAGUGCCGCAGCUAACGCAUUAAGCACUCCGCCUGGGGAGUACGACCGCAAGGUUGAAACUCAAAGGAAUUGACGGGGGCCCGCACAAGCGGUGGAGCAUGUGGUUUGAUUCGAAGCAACGCGAAGAACCUUACCAGGUCUUGACAUCCCGAUGCUAUUUCUAGAGAUAGAAAGUUACUUCGGUACAUCGGUGACAGGUGGUGCAUGGUUGUCGUCAGCUCGUGUCGUGAGAUGUUGGGUUAAGUCCCGCAACGAGCGCAACCCCUAUUGUUAGUUGCCAUCAUUCAGUUGGGCACUCUAGCGAGACUGCCGGUAAUAAACCGGAGGAAGGUGGGGAUGACGUCAAAUCAUCAUGCCCCUUAUGACCUGGGCUACACACGUGCUACAAUGGUUGGUACAACGAGUUGCGAGUCGGUGACGGCGAGCUAAUCUCUUAAAGCCAAUCUCAGUUCGGAUUGUAGGCUGCAACUCGCCUACAUGAAGUCGGAAUCGCUAGUAAUCGCGGAUCAGCACGCCGCGGUGAAUACGUUCCCGGGCCUUGUACACACCGCCCGUCACACCACGAGAGUUUGUAACACCCGAAGUCGGUGAGGUAACCUUUUGGAGCCAGCCGCCUAAGGUGGGACAGAUGAUUGGGGUG